CGACCGGCGCACGGGUGGGUAACGCGUAUCCAACCUGCCUUACACUCUUGGACAGCCUUCUGAAAGGGAGAUUAAUACAAGAUGUUAUCAUGAGUAAGCAUUUUCGCAUGAUUAAAGGUUUACCGGUGUAAGAUGGGGAUGCGUUCCAUUAGAUAGUAGGCGGGGUAACGGCCCACCUAGUCUUCGAUGGAUAGGGGUUCUGAGAGGAAGGUCCCCCACAUUGGAACUGAGACACGGUCCAA
rnacentral:rRNA from 1 species